UCUGCUGCUCCUGCAGGCAGCUUGCAACAGCGAGGUUUUUUUCCCCAUGCGGUGCAUCUGAGAGACAGCUGACAUCCUUGGCGAGAGCUCUGCUUUCUGCAGCAUCCCCCUCCCUGUACAUAAAAAGACACAAGGAGCAGUGGCAGGGCUGACAGAAAGCCAAGGUGCAAAAUGUUGGAGAGAAUGUUCUGAUAUUCAAAGCUGGAAAGGAUUCUGUUUCCCAGGCUUACAUUCUCCAUCCUAGCCACCAGCAAACAGAACUAUUGCUGCAAAACCUCAUGUCAUGAAGCACAGUGCUAGUCUGGGGUCUGACGGAAUUGCAAGGAUUCAAAGAGGGGGCGGGGGACAUCUUUUCCAGCAUCAACAGGCAUCACUAUGCCCCAGUGACUCAGCUCUCAACAAGAAAACAAUAUUUCCGCAGCACAGCUGGAGAACAAGGUACAUCUCUGAGGGAUUCCUUGUACUCUGCCACCAAACAGCACCACAUCACAACUUCCUCCUUGCUUGUGACAGACUCUCAUCUGGAAUACAUGUAUCAAUCUUUGGGAAUUAACAACUGAUUAUCAUUCUUUGUGGACCGGAAAGACUUUUCAUUCCCUAGUGAAAAGCAACAAAUUAGCAAAGAGAGGUCUCCUGAAACACAGUUGCUUCUAAAGUCUAAUUCUACGUGCACAGUCAAUCCUAUGCAUAUACCCCAAAGAUAUUGGGUCAGACAGACUGAGGGGUUGCUUGUUCACACAGUCAGUUUUGUCUCCACGCAAAGGCUCCCUGAGGCUCCCUGGGGAUGCAUUCACACACAGCAAAUCUCCCAUACGGCCUGGAAUCUCGACUGAUAACACUUGCACUUUUUUAGCGGCAAUUUCUGUAAUCACAGCAACACAAUUUGCAGCUACCGUGAUAACAGGAAUCAUUCCUGAGAAGUAGCAGCUGCCUCCAUUGAAAGCUCGGUUAAUAUGAAACAUUCUCUGCAUGAUGCAUCCCUGGAGAGCAUGGUGGAGAGACAAAAUUGACCGCGUUGACCUGCCUGGAGUCAGUUAUUUCAUUUCAAUACAACAGUUUCCUUUUUAACAUGUCAUGGAAAACACGGAGUUAACAGCAUUGACUCUCUCACUCUCUCUUCCCGUCUCUCUCUCUCUCUCGCACACACAUACACAGCAAUUUUGUAAUACUUUCCAAACUAAUAUUAUCAGACAGACCCUUAUGUCUCUGACCUUCUGUUCUCAAGGCAAUCCAAAACAAAUCUGAUCGCUAUAACAAAUAUUUUCAUACGUUCCUCUUCUGCAGAAUCACAGGGUUUGCAACAUUUUCUUUAAUGAACAGAGAGUGGCAAUGGUUGCUGUUUCUGUUUUUUGUUUUUAAAGCGGGAGCGAGAAUAAGGAAAGGGGGGUUGAAAUGGCCGAUCGCGUGGCUGUUAUCGCUUUGGGACAGUGGGGAAAUGUGAACUAGGAAAAAGGCUGAAAGUGAUCCAGCAAAUGUCAGUUAUCCCAGAAGAGAAGAUCCAUGGGCAAACUCACAAAUGUAUGUUAACCACUCUAUGUCUUCAAGACACUGGUUGCUCACAAGCCACAAGAUUAGAAUCAUGUUGGGGGGCGGGAAGAGACAAGGCCAUUGACCCUGUCCCUUCCGUCAUAUCCUUGUCUCCUGUUCCCACUCCACACAUUGUAGAGUGAAUGUCUCCUGCCAGGAGCCUGCCAUACAAUCACCCCCCAUUGUUCUGCCUGGACACUGAGGUCCAUUGCCGAGGGCCUUCUGGUGGUUCCCUCGCUGCGAGAAGCCAAGUUACAGGGAACCAGGAAGAGGGCCUUCUUGGUAGUGGCACCCGCCCUGUGGAAUGCCCUCCCAUCAGAUGUCAAAGAGAAGAACAACUACCAGACUUUUAGAAGACAUCUGAAGACAGCCCUGUUUAGGGAAGCUUUUAAUGUUUAAUAGACUAUUGUAUUUUAAUAUUCUGUUGGAAGCCACCCAGAGUGGCUGGGGAAACCCAGCCAGAUGGGCGGGGUAUAAAUAAUAAAUUAUUAUUAUUAUAUUAUUAUUAUUAUAAUCAGGAUUCUAAAUUGCACAGGAAGAAUACAUGUGCAGAGAAGGUAGGGUCGCCUCGCCUCAAAAAGGAUAUUGAGAAGUUUUCAGAAAAGAACAACCAAAAAAACCAAGGGGAUGG